GAUCGCUCGAGGGCAGGGGGCGGGGCGGGUCCUGGGGUGGGACUGCGGUGCCGCCCUCUGGCGGGAGCGGCACUUCCAGCAAUCUUCAUUCUUGCCAUGUGUUGCCAAAAGCAGAAGUUAGUCAGCUUGAAAAAGGACAUAAGAAACAGCUCUGGUCAAAUGUUUGAAUGAGUCAUCUGCAGAGGAGUUGGGGUUAAUGGAGGUGGGACAUCAGCUGUUCUCAGGUUUUGAUCACUGUUUUUGGAACCUGCACUGGGAGUGGAGAAAGGUCUGCAAGCUACUUGCAGCCUGACAGCAAACGAAGUAGAGAUGGAGGCCCAAUGUCAGGUUUAAGCUUGCGUUACAGCAGUCUGUCCCUCUUCUGGAAAAUUCAUGUCUGCAAAUGGAAAACUGAUGUAUGCUUGGAUAACUACCAAUUAAUAUUGAUACAUAACUUGCAUCAAGCAACAAUAUGGUGGCAAGAAAUUGAGCUGCUGUCCAACCAACCUGCACACAGUUCCAGAUGAACCAUGGGACAGCUCCUGGCCCUGGAGAGCCAUGGAUGCAGAGUGACUGCUUACAGGAAAGAACAUGGGAAAUACCCACAAGAUCUUGAAGCUGUUGCUACAGUACAAACUUCUGCUAAGUCUAGGCAGAGUACUACCAUGGAAGACAGAGUACAGGCUGGGAAUUUUUACCAGGAAAGACUUUCCAUGAAACAUGACUUCAUUUUUGCUGUAGACUUUUGCUGAUUAUUCCCUGACUUCACUGGGUUAUUUUCUUUCUGAAGAGACUUGCUAGAAUUAGAUAACCAAGGUUAUAGUACGGAGUCCGUUCAUCCCUAACACACCUGCUAAAGAUGAUAAACAUACAAACAGGUCUAUCUGCAUAACAAAUCGAUGCACUAAAGUUGCCUGAAAGGUGUGUGACUUUUUUUUUUUUUUCAAAGAUUGAUAGCACAAAGAAAGGAGGAAAGAAGCUGCAGCAGAGCAAGGGAGUUAAAUAAUAAACCCAAGUUCAGAUAAAGAAAUAAAGCAGAAGCUGAAAUACAGAACUGAGAAAACAGGACACAGGGAGUGGGCAGGAAGGAGAAUCUUGGUGGCUUGUAAGGGGAGCUGCUGGACUUGAGAAGCAGCUGCAGGUCAGCCAGCAGCCUUUAUUCUCACACUUGCUUGCCCUCAGAAAAUGUUGGGCUAGAUGACAGGGUCUCACAUUUAGGCAAAUUGCUUUAUAAAUACAUAUAACAUAUGCCUGGAUGAGGUAUCUGAAUGUUUUAUGUUAAACUGAAUUAAAUGGGAAGGUUUUGGUAAGAUUGGAGAGUCCCUUCUGUAUCCCAGAUUCCUGCUAUUGUGCUAUUACUUUCAGCAUUCCACAGAGCUGCUAUACAAUUUGUUCCAAGGAUACUGAAUUGCCAAAAUCCAGGUUUUCAAGACACCUUCUGAACGUGGAUGCUCUACAGAGGAAAUCUGUUCCUUUGCUACAGCCCAAUGUCUUCAACACUGGGUGAUCUUCCAGGAAGAGAUGUUUUGCAACCUCUGCCCUGUGGGCACAAAUACACUCGUGGCAAUGUAAACCAAACUGCUGGCAUCAGACCAACACCUAGUUGAGCCUGGAUGCUCAGUCAAAUUCUGUCACCAGUUAUCAAAAAAGCAAGCAAAUGCAGCUGUUUUGCUGUGAAGUGAUUACCGUGCUGACUAACAGAGCAACUGCUUACCUGUUUGGUUCAGCACAUACAAAUUCAGGAAUAGAAAUUUGAGAAAAAUCAAAUUAAAAAUUAAGACCAGAGAAAAAGAGUCACUAGCACCUAACCUGUCAAUCUCUC